rnacentral:rRNA from 1 species
UACGUAGGGUGCGAGCGUUGUCCGGAAUUAUUUGGGCGUAAAGAGCUCGUAGGCGGUUUUGUCGCGUCUGCCGUGAAAGUCCGGGGCUCAACUCCGGAUCUGCGGUGGGUACGGGCAGACUAGAGUGAUGUAGGGGAGACUGGAAUUCCUGGUGUAGCGGUGAAAUGCGCAGAUAUCAGGAAGAACACCCGUGGCGAAGGCGGCUCUCUGGGACGGUACUGACGCUGAGACGCGAAAGCGUGGGGAGCGAACAGG